rnacentral:rRNA from 1 species
GUAAUGCAUCGGAACGUGCCCAGUCGUGGGGGAUAACGCGGCGAAAGCUGCGCUAAUACCGCAUACGAUCUAUGGAUGAAAGCGGGGGACCGUAAGGCCUCGCGCGAUUGGAGCGGCCGAUGUCAGAUUAGGUAGUUGGUGGGGUAAAGGCUCACCAAGCCAACGAUCUGUAGCUGGUCUGAGAGGACGACCAGCCACACUGGAACUGAGACACGGUCCAGACUCCUACGGGAGGCAGCAGUGGGGAAUUUUGGACAAUGGGCGCAAGCCUGAUCCAGCAAUGCCGCGUGCAGGAAGAAGGCCUUCGGGUUGUAAACUGCCUUUGUACGGAACGAAACGGUCUGAGUUAAUACCUCGGGCUAAUGACGGUACCGUAAGAAUAAGCACCGGCUAACUACGUGCCAGCAGCCGCGGUAAUACGUAGGGUGCAAGCGUUAAUCGGAAUUACUGGGCGUAAAGCGUGCGCAGGCGGUGAUGUAAGACAGUCGUGAAAUCCCCGGGCUCAACCUGGGAAUUGCGAUUGUGACUGCAUCGCUGGAGUGCGGCAGAGGGGGAUGGAAUUCCGCGUGUAGCAGUGAAAUGCGUAGAUAUGCGGAGGAACACCGAUGGCGAAGGCAAUCCCCUGGGCCUGCACUGACGCUCAUGCA